rnacentral:ncRNA from 1 species
ACCGGCUGAAAGUGGUGGAAGGAGGCGGGGCGACCCAAAUCCGGUUCUUUGAUCCGACCGCCGAGAAAAGUGUCCUGGCCCUUUCCAAGGCCGCCCGUACCGCAAACCGACACAGGUGGGUGGGUAGAAUAUACCAAGGCGAAAGAGUGAAACCUCGUUAAGGAACUCUGCAAUCUAGUCCCGUAACUUCGGAAGAAGGGAUGCCCAAGCUUGCUUGGGUCGCAGUGAAAGGGGACAACCGACUGUUUAUCAAAAACACAGCAUUGUGCCAAGACGAAAGUCCAAGUAUACGAUGUGACACGUGACCAAUGCGGAAAGAUUAAGGCAAGGGGUUAGCCGCAAGGCGAAGCUCUGAACCCAAGUCCCCGUGAAUGUCGGCCGUAACUAUAACGGUCCUAAGGUAGCGAAAUUCCUUGUCGGGUAAGUUCCGACCUGCACGAAUCGUGUAACGAGUUGUCCGCUGUCUCAACAGGGGCUCAGUGAAAUUGUAUAGCGGUGAAGAUGCCGCUUACCCGCAGAAGGACGGAAAGACCCUAUGCACCUUAACUGUAAGCUGUCACUGGUCGUUUGGUUUCAUGCUCAGCGUAAGUGGGAGGCUUUGAAGCGGAACUUUCGGGUUCCGCAGAGUCGUCAAUGAAACACCACCCUUGGGUAUUGAACGAUCUAACCGCAGUCCAUGAAUCUGGAUGUGGGACCAUGCAGCCGGUCAGUUUUACUGGGGCGGUAUCCUCCCAAAGUGUAACGGAGGAGCGCGAAGUUUGGCUCAGCGUGGUUGGUAAUCACGUGUUCGAGUGUAUAGGCAUAAGCCAGACUAACUGUGAGACC